rnacentral:rRNA from 1 species
UAGGGAAUCUUCCGCAAUGGACGAAAGUCUGACGGAGCAACGCCGCGUGAGUGAAGAAGGCUUUCGGUUCGUAAAACUCUGUUGUUAGGGAAGAAAAAAUGUAUAGUAACUAUAUACAAAAGAGACGGUACCUAACCAGAAAGCCACGGCUAACUACGUGCCAGCAGCCGCGGUAAUACGUAGGUGGCAAGCGUUGUCCGGAAUUAUUGGGCGUAAAGCGCGCGCAGGUGGUUUAGAAAGUCUGAUGUGAAAGCCCACGGCUCAACCGUGGAGGGUCAUUGGAAACUAAUAAACUUGAGUGCAGGAGAGAAAAGUGGAAUUCCUAGUGUAGCGGUGAAAUGCGUAGAGAUUAGGAGGAACACCGGUGGCGAAAGCGGCUUUUUGGCCUGCAACUGACACUGAGGCGCGAAAGCGUGGGGAGCAAACAGG